UGAGCAAUCUGCCCUUCUCUUCGGAAUAAGCGUUGGAAACGACGUCUAAUGCCGAAUACGACCUCCUUUCGCAUGAUCGGAGGUGGAAAGCUCCGGCGGAGAAGGAUGAGCUCGCGGCCUAUCAGCUAGUUGGUGUGGGUAAUGGCCCACAAGGCGACGACGGGUAGCCGGCCUGAGGAGGGUCGACCCGGCCACACGUGGGACUGAGACACGGCCCAGACUCCG
rnacentral:rRNA from 1 species